GAGUUUGAUCCUGGCUCAGAAUGAACGCUGGCGACGUGCUUUACACAUGCAAGUCGAGCGAGGCGUGUAGCAAUACACAGUCGAGCGGCGAACGGGUGAGUAACGCGUGGAUUAUCUGCCCUGAGGUGGGGGGAUAACCCGGGGAAACUCGGGCUAAUACCGCAUAGGACCGUGAGGUCAAAGGGGGGUCGCAAGAUCUCUCGCCAUAGGAGGAGUCCGCGUCCGAUUAGCUAGUUGGUAGGGUAAUGGCCUACCAAGGCGACGAUCGGUAGCCGGCCUGAGAGGGUGAUCGGCCACACUGGAACUGAGACACGGUCCAGACUCCUACGGGAGGCAGCAGUGGGGAAUUUUGCGCAAUGGCUAACGCCUGACGCAGCAACGCCGCGUGGAGGAUGAAGGUCCUUGGAUUGUAAACUCCUGUCAGCAGGGAAAAGCAACUUGGCCUCAUACGCUAAGAAGUUGAUUGUACCUGCAGAGGAAGCCCGGCUAACUCUGUGCCAGCAGCCGCAGU
rnacentral:rRNA from 1 species